rnacentral:rRNA from 1 species
AGAUGAGCCUAAGUCGGAUUAGCUAGUUGGUGGGGUAAAGGCCUACCAAGGCGACGAUCUGUAGCGGGUCUGAGAGGAUGAUCCGCCACACUGGGACUGAGACACGGCCCAGACUCCUACGGGAGGCAGCAGUGGGGAAUAUUGGACAAUGGGGGGAACCCUGAUCCAGCCAUGCCGCGUGUGUGAAGAAGGCCUUAUGGUUGUAAAGCACUUUAAGCGAGGAGGAGGCUACUCUAGUUAAUACCUAGGGAUAGUGGACGUUACUCGCAGAAUAAGCACCGGCUAACUCUGUGCCAGCAGCCGCGGUAAUACAGAGGGUGCGAGCGUUAAUCGGAUUUACUGGGCGUAAAGCGUGCGUAGGCGGCUUAUUAAGUCGGAUGUGAAAUCCCCGAGCUUAACUUGGGAAUUGCAUUCGAUACUGGUGAGCUAGAGUAUGGGAGAGGAUGGUAGAAUUCCAGGUGUAGCGGUGAAAUGCGUAGAGAUCUGGAGGAAUACCGAUGGCGAAGGCAGCCAUCUGGCCUAAUACUGACGCUGAGGUACGAAAGCAUGGGGAGCAAACAGGAUUAGAUACCCUGGUAGUCCAUGCCGUAAACGAUGUCUACUAGCCGUUGGGGCCUUUGAGGCUUUAGUGGCGCAGCUAACGCGAUAAGUAGACCGCCUGGGGAGUACGGUCGCAAGACUAAAACUCAAAUGAAUUGACGGGGGCCCGCACAAGCGGUGGAGCAUGUGGUUUAAUUCGAUGCAACGCGAAGAACCUUACCUGGCCUUGACAUACUAGAAACUUUCCAGAGAUGGAUUGGUGCCU